GUGGCUGUAGCUCAGUUGGUAGAGCCCCGGAUUGUGACUCCGGUGGUCGUGGGUUCAAAUCCCAUCAGCCACC
rnacentral:tRNA from 2 species